AUGAAGGCAUGGGGAGAGACUGCAUGGCGCAGCGCCGAAGGAGCAAGCUUAACAGCGAAUCUCUCAGGCAAAAGAACUCUUGCUGGACG
rnacentral:ncRNA from 2 species